GGUUUAUUCUUGAUGUCCGUGAGCUGGAGGAACUCUGUAACUGCUGGUAUAGGGUUUCCUAGCUAUAUACCAGAUACUGAAAGAUGAUGGCAGGAACAGGGUAUCAUGCAUACAUUGAUGUGGAGUCGAUAAUAGACCUCUCUCCCAUUGAUAUUUAUUGUAUUGUACUGGAUAUUUACCGAGGUUGCAAAGGCAAUUAAAGUUUCCUGUAUAGAUCUACAUGAAAUUGUCAGUAAAGAAGUGACUAGCAUCAAACGAUUCGUCAAUGAGGAAAAUGGGAACAAAGAUAAAAAACUUGACGCAUACGUAACAGUGACAUUGUAAAAUAUCAACUCUAAAGAAGACCGGUCCCACGCUGAAUACUAUGUAGACAAGAUUGUCCAACCAGCUGUAAAACAAGUGGUUAAUAAGAAAGACAAUCAGGGCAAGUAAAUAUUUUCAAAUGUCGUGAAACUUAGUAUUUGUGAUUGCUAGCUAAGUUAUCAAGUAUAUCAUACCGUCAGAAGUGUAUGAAGAGGAGUAUGCGACUCCCACGCACAUUCCAUUCUAUCUUGGACUGAAUCCGUCACGAACACUUGUAGUUGUGUAAACUGUUAGCCAUGAAUAAAAUUAAAUGUGUGCUGGAGGUACAAACCAUGUGUGUGUAUGCCGAUAUCAUUUUUAACUAAUUAACUACUACACCGACGCACCCACUUAAGAUGCGGUCUGAUAGUGACGUGGUAUGACAUGCUCCUACCGUAACAAGGUUUACACUACAACUGCUACAGUUGGAUACUCCUCUUAAUACACUCCUGAUACCGUAUAUAGCGGGUGAUUUUCGUGGGGUAAAAUAUUCGUUAUUUUCAAGGGCAAGCUUACCUCCACAAACGUAGGCGUGGCUUAUACCGGAACGUAUAGGAAUGCAGCAGGCAACGAGACUAAACGAAAUGUUUACUCACGAAAACCACCAUUGCAUCUAUAUUCAGACACAAUGUAUAUUCAGACACUCAUUCUGAGGAAACAAGCAGUGAAUUGAUAAAAAAUUUUCUUUUGCACCAUCUGAUCAAGCAUGUGUUACUAUGAAUGUAUGCAAAAAAGAAUUGAUAAAUAUCAACUACUAAGUCUUCAAAAGCUGAAAAUGUGCUAGUGUCUGAUAAACGGUAAGAACAGACAAAAAAUCGAUCAUCAGACACAACCUACCGUUUAUUCUGUAGGGGGAUAUGCUGAGUCACAUAAUAAUUAUGUAAGGACAAUAACUAAACAACUAGGUCCAGGGUGACGCAAGCGCCAUGGGGCAAGCGACGCAUCCAACUCUGCUGAAAGAUAUUGUGCAAAUGACACCACAUCUUGUGGUAGGUUGAUGACAUAGCCUGCGUAUUCAUAUUGUCCAAGUGGUAAUCGAUAGAUGGACAUUAUUGGCAUGACUGCAGAUAUAAACAGCAUCUUGGAUUGAACAGCAGAUUGUUCGAAUAGAGGCAUGUCGGGAUUCACUCUGUACGCCUAUGCCUGCAUGUAUUGCUUCAAGCGUGCCUGUGUGGCCUCUGGAGUCUCUGUAAGUGUAAUGAACAGGCACUCCUGUCUCCAAGAUCCCUGUGAGAAGCACCCCAGGCACUCCUGUCUCUGUGAUAAAGCUGCAACAUGGAAUUGUUUAGUUGAUCAGAGUGUCUCCAACAUGAAGAACAUCAAUGACACUAACAGUCUCAGCUUCUAGCACCCCUUUAUUUGUAUGGUUUGCUCUGUGCCUGCAAGAAUUGCCUGUCACUCAUACUACAGUAGUGUUCUGUGUGUCCCAAUAUGUAGAGGUUAUAAAGAAAGAAAAGAUGAAUCGUUCAAAGAAGAAAAGGUCGCGAUAAUUAGCUAAUUAGAGCUAAGGUAAGUUAAUCGUGUCCUCCCUCCCCUCUGGAACUUCACUAUGAUAAAUUAAUUAGAUCUAGAGUCUAUAGUGCUACAGAAUUCAUCAAUGACUAGUGUUAUGGUUGCUAUCAUCACAUGUCUCUAUGAAUGUGGUUGUAACUCUGUAACUGCAGGGCUUCCUAGGCAACCUAAAUAAAGUUGGAGCAGAAUACUAGACUAGAAGUAUAGAUUAUUUUCUCUAUCCAAUACUGAAAGAUGAUGGUAGGAACAGGGUAUCCUGUAUACAUUGAUGUGGAGUCGACCUCAGACCUCUCUCCCAGUGAUAUAUUAGCUAAGGUCGGUACAAGUGCAAAGUUUCCUGUAAAAGAAAUUGUCAGUAAACAAGUGACUAGCAUCAAACAGUUCGUCAAUGGACAAAGUGAAGAUAAAACACUUGAUGCAUACGUAACAGUAACAUUGUACAAUAUCAACUCCAAAGAAGACUGGUGCAACAUUGAAGACUAUGUAAACAAUAUUGGCGAUGAAAUAAAGAAAACCACUGGCAAAGCCAGCGUGGUGAAGCUAAUCUACAAUAAAGCAUCGGACAAUGCAAAUGCAUUACCGGCUGCAGAUUGUUGUGAGAGUUGUACUAAGACUAAAGGAUUCAUCAUCAGCUUCAUGGAAGCUUUUGUUCCUUCUUUUACAUAUUUUGCCCGAUAUAUUGCUUACCGCCAACAACAGUAAAAUGACUAUAUACGUGCAGUACGGCUUUAGCUGUGACCCCAAAAAAAUCUAUUUCUGUAUACAUGUACAAAUAUAAUUUUUUAUUGUCUUGUUGUGACAGUAAUGUGUGAUGAAACUC